UUAAAGGCUAUGAAAAGAAGAGUAGUAAAGCUGUUGCGCACAGAGAGUUCCGUGGCUGAGAAGGAACCGUUAAUGACUUUAUGAACCAAGGCUUGGAGCUGUGUGCCGGAUUUUUUGAUGGUAUGCCGGGUUUUCCCGUUAUAGAAAAAGAGGUUGAGUUUCUCUCGACGAAUUAGGGUGGCACCGCGGAAUAUCGCCCCUAAG
rnacentral:ncRNA from 1 species